UAAACGCUGGCGGCGUGCUUAACACAUGCAAGUCGACCGAAGUUUUUCCUUCGGGAGAAACUUAGUGGCGGACGGGUGAGUAACGCGUGGGUAACCUGCCCUGUACAGGGGGACAACAGCUGGAAACGGCUGCUAAUACCGCAUAAGCCCUUAGCACUGCAUGGUGCAUAGGGAAAAGGAGCAAUCCGGUACAGGAUGGACCCGCGUCUGAUUAGCCAGUUGGCAGGGUAACGGCCUACCAAAGCGACGAUCAGUAGCCGAUCUGAGAGGAUGUACGGCCACAUUGGGACUGAGACACGGCCCAGACUCCUACGGGAGGCAGCAGUGGGGAAUAUUGCACAAUGGAGGAAACUCUGAUGCAGCGACGCCGCGUGAGUGAAGAAGUAUUUCGGUAUGUAAAGCUCUAUCAGCAGGGAAGAAAAUGACGGUACCUGACUAAGAAGCACCGGCUAAAUACGUG
rnacentral:rRNA from 1 species